GAUGAACGCUGGCGGCGUGCCUAAUACAUGCAAGUCGAGCGAACAGACGAGGCGCUUGCUCCUCUGACGUUAGCGGCGGACGUGUGAGUAACACGUGUAUAACCUCCCUAUAAGUCUGGGAUAACUUCGGGAAUCCGGAGCUAAUACCGGAUAAUAUAUUGAACCGCGGGGUUCAAUAGUGAAAGACGGUUUUGCUGUCACUUAUAGAUGGAUCCGCGCCGCAUUAGCUAGUUGGUAAGGUAACGGCUUACCAAGGCUACGAUGCGUAGCCGACCUGAGAGGGUGAUCGGCCACACUGGAACUGAGACACGGUCCAGACUCCUACGGGAGGCAGCAGUAGGGAAUCUUCCGCAAUGGGCGAAAGCCUGACGGAGCAACGCCGCGUGAGUGAUGAAGGUCUUCGGAUCGUAAAACGCUGUUAUUAGGGAAGAACAAAUGUGGAAGUAACUAUGCACGUAUUGACGGUACCGAAUCAGAAAGCACCGGCUAACUACGUG
rnacentral:rRNA from 1 species